GACGAACGCUGGCGGCGUGCUUAACACAUGCAAGUCGAACGAAGUGGCGAACGGGUGAGUAAUACGUGGGUAACCUGCCCUCCUUUUUGUGAUAAGAAUUGGACACGGGGUCUAAUACCGAAUAAAGGGGGAUGGGCUCGCGGCCUAUCAGCUUGUUGGUGGGGGGAUGGCCUACCAAGGUGGGGACGGGUAGCCGGCCUGGGAGGGUGACCGGCCACCUUGGGACUGGGAUACGGCCCCAACUGCGACUGGAGGCAGGCGUUGGGGAUUUUGCACAAUGGGCGGAAGGCUGAUGACGCGAAAGCGCGUGGGGGAUGUAGGCUUUGGGGUUUUAAACCUUUUUCGGCAUCCAACGGGUAGGUGGAGAAGAAGCGCCGGCUAACUACGUGCCAGCAGCCGCGGUAAUUC
rnacentral:rRNA from 1 species